GUAAAGGCUCCUUUUGGAGCCUUUAAUUUAAAAAAAAAAAUGUAA
rfam:Pterocles gutturalis contig84986, whole genome shotgun sequence.